CCCCGGCCCUUCCCCACGGGGAGAGUUAGUGUGUGGGUGAGCUCUCUGAGCAGCCCAGGAAGGGGGUGCUUCAGGAUAGAUGAGUGUGUUCACCUCGCACAUCUCUCCCUCACCCAGUUCUGGGCACAGGCGUGACGUGGGACGAGACCCGUAUAAGGUACCCUGCUCUUGUCUGGUGUUUCUCCUUGUUUUUAAUCGUCUCUCCACCCCACCCCACUCUCAGUCUUCCACACACACAAAAUACCUCACAGAUAAGAGCUUCACCAAACCGCAGCUAAGGAGGCACUUGGCCAUGGCACUGACCUCACACGCCUCCGCUGGGGCUUGCUGAGUCUCUGCGUCCACGCACGUGGGACUCGCAGGCUUGUCAGCGCGCCGGGAUCCCAGCUUGAGGCUGCAUUUUCAUUCGUUUGGUAGCAGCUGCUCUAAGACGCACAGAAUUGGCCCCAUGCGUUGUCUCCUGCUAUUCUUAAAUUCAAUCCGUUAGAUGGCCCAAUGUCACUUCAGCCCAGGCCGUGGGCUUUCGUUGAUUCCGUGGCACAGGCCAAGCCUCCAGAAGCCCGUGGAUGCAUGGGCCUGGGGGAAUGAACCCUGAGGCCGAACCCCUCUCUUCCCAGAGUUGCCAGCUCGGCUCUGGCAAGGCUGGGGGGCCGUCGUCACUUGGCUCUGCCAACCUAGGAACGUUUCUGGCCUUGCUGUCACACCUCGGCUUCACGUGCAAAUCCAGCAAAAGUGCAGAAAAUUGCCUGAGUGCAGCUGUCAGAAGCAGCGCUUUGUUUGCAAAUUGGGUAACUAAAUAGUUUUUAAAAAUAUCUGUGAUUAAUUUUUUAAAUGAUACCUUUUAAGUGGCCUUGGUGAAAGUGAUUCAGAGAUCAGCACACAUGGUGUUUUCUACUGUUUGAGGAAAAAACAAUAAGAGAAUUUCCAGAAGCCCGAGAAAUUAGAGUGGUGAGCUGUAGUAAUCUCACACCUGUUCUCUUUCUCGGGCUGUGGGGCUAAAGCCACGAGGAGAAGUUCACCUGCGUGGUAUCUUAGGCAUUCUGGAAGCUGUUAGCCUAACAGAAUUGUAAUGGGGUUGUAUUUAUAGGCUCCUAGGAAGAAUACACAAGAACCCCGUAGACCAGGAUGAAUUUGUUUAUUUUAAAAGGUAAAGCAGAUAGCCCUUCCUGAGUUCCCUAGAUAGCUCUCGGACUUUAGAUAAACAAGGAGAAUUAAGGUCUGAUGGCAGACGCCAAGGCCAGCCUCCAGCCUUCUCUUCCCACCUCAGUUGGCCCACAGUUCCCACCCUCCCCACCCCCGGUUUGGCCUGCCCUUCUCUCUCUCUGAUGUUCUCCCCCCUGCCGCUGGGGAAAGAGUGACACGUUCACCUCCCACCGUGGAAGGGCAUUACAUCCUGUCGGGGUCAUUGCCCAGACACGGCAACAGGACUUCCCACUUCUCCGUGAUCGGUGCUCAAGUGAGAGCCUCUUUCGGCCAAGUCCAAAGGUGAGACCACCAACCACUUGUGCAGGACUUGACCCCACACCAGCCUUGUUGCGGGAUGCUCUUGUUCCAACUCUGUCUGCCAGGAAACCCGAGUUCUUUGCAGUCUCCUACAUGCCAGGAGUCAGUUCUCGUUUCCGGUUAUUUGAAGUCAGUCUUAAAAGGAAUAGAAUACAAUAAGUAAAAUAUAUUAGCUAUCGUUCUGAGUCGGAACUGGAUAGAUGUGGGAAAUUUCCGUACAGUGUGUGAAAAGUUCACCAUGCAGGGAAAUUUGUUUUCCUCUGUAUCUCUUCUUUUCCUAUACAAAUUAUUCAAAAUCAUACUGUUCCUGUAAAAUUCUUCCAAAUAUUGUUACUACAAAAUUACUCAGAAUUGUACUGUUACUAUAAAAUUAUUCAAAAUAUCAUGCCAAUAAACUGCAUCAAUUUGUAGACGAUUAAAGUGCUUUCCAACA